UGAUGACUGUCUUAGGGUUGCAACUGAACUUUACCAUGCAGGGUUGAUGCCUUCCUAUUGAUUGAUUUCAAUACACGAAGCUGAACAAGAGCUGCUGAGCUGCUGAAUCUCUGCAGACAGUUGCCAAGGUGUCCUGUCAUCACCAUGAGGAAGCUGCUACUUAUCACUCUCCUGGUCCUGGUCACUCUUGCCUUUAGUGCAGAGGGUGUCCGUGCCCCAAGGCAAGCAGAACCCUUUGACUUGUGGUCUCUGUACGAUCAGGCCAUGGAGCAGAUCAGCAAGACAAUUGGAGAAGAGCAGCUGCGUUCUAUAGGAAAAGCCACAACUGAAUUAGCCAUCAAUGUGGGACAUGCAGCAAGCAAGCUCAUAAAUUCAGUCAUCCACAAAGCCUAGAGUUAUCUCCAAGCCGGAGCAUAUGGAUUUCUCUGGACCUCUGUGAUGUCUCUGGUGGUCUUUGUUGUGUCAAAUGUGAUUCCAGUGGCUGAACUCCACACAGACCAUUUUUUUUCUUCCACAUUUUUUUUUUCUUCUGUAAUUUUGUCUCUCAGAACUGCACGUAAUUUGACCUGUAAGAUCACUAUAACACCCUUUGACAUUUGUGGAAUUUCGUUCAUGGGGGGCCACACAAUAAAUUAAUUUACUGUAUGUGUACAUUUGCUACAAAUCAGCCUGCAGAUGGUGUUAAGCGAAGGGUUGCCGAAUGAAGUUGAAUGUUUAUCUGAAAAACCCAAUUAUUUUCACAAAGGUGGUUGAUCGCUAGCCUGCAGUUGAUUGCUGGAUGGAUGUGAAAAAUCUGUACUACUGUAUAUAGCGUGUGCUAUUAAAUAUAACACUGUUGUCA